rnacentral:rRNA from 1 species
ACGUAGGGUGCGAGCGUUAAUCGGAAUUACUGGGCGUAAAGCGUGCGCAGGCGGUUCGCUAAGACAGAUGUGAAAUCCCCGGGCUCAACCUGGGAACUGCCUUUGUGACUGCAAGGCUAGAAUGCGUCAGAGGGAGGUGGAAUUCCACGUGUAGCAGUGAAAUGCGUAGAGAUGCGGAGGAACAUCGAUGGCGAAGGCAGCCUCCUGGGACGACACUGACGCUCAUGCACGAAAGCGUGGGGAGCAAACAG